ensembl:lncRNA
GAUCCCCACAGAUCCCAUUGAGCCCCAUAGAUCUCAGUGUACCCCAUAGAUCCUGGUGUGCCCCACAGAUCCCAGUGUGCCCCACAGAUUCCACUGAGCCCCAUAGAUGUCAGUGUGCCCCACAGAUCCCAUUGAGCCCCACAGAUCCCAGUGUGCCCCACAGCUGCCCCUAUUGUAGUGCAGGGUGAGGUGUGACAUGGGGGGCACACGCACACUCACACACGUGCACACAUACAUGUGCACUUACAUACAUGAACACACACACACACACACACACAUAUGUACGCACUCACACGUGCACUCACACAUGUGCACUCACACACAUGUGCACUCACACACAUGUGCACUCACACAUGCACUCACACACACAUGCUCACACACGUGCACUCAGACACAUGUGCUUUCACACACACAUGCACUCACACAUGCCUGCACUCACACACACGCACCCUCCCAAACACAUGUGCACUCACACAUGUACACUCACACACGUGCUCUCACACACACGUGCUCUUACACACACGUGCUCUCACACACAUGUGCUCUCACACCCACCUUUUUGCACCAGUGCUGUGGAGGGGAGAGAGGAGAGAGGUCAAGGGGUGCAACACGGAACCGUGCACGGAACCGUGCACACGGAAUGGCAUGGAACGGUGCACGUGGAACGGUGCACACGGAACGGUGCACAUGAAAUGGUGCAUGGAAUGGUGCACAUGGAAUGGUGCACAUGGAAUGGUGCAUGGAAUGGUGCACAUGGAAUGGUGCACAUGGAAUGGUGCACAGGGACUGGUGCAUGGAGCAGCACACAGAAGAGCACGCAUGGAACGGCGCACGGCACACAGAACAGCACACGGAACGGCGCACGGAUCUGCGUGUGACACACAGCACGCGGCACAGCACGGCGCACACGGUGCACGGCACGCGGCACGCAAUGCAUGGCGUGCAGCACACAGCACACAGCACGCAACACACGGCACGCGGGUGUUGUGGCACGCAGCACACGGUGCACGGCACACGAUGCACAACACGCAGCACACGUUGCAACGCGGCACACGGAACACAGAACGUGGCACAAAGCACAUGGCACGCAGAACAUGGCAGGGUGCAUGGCACGCGGCACACAACAUACAACACAGCAUGAUGCAUGGCACACAGCACAUGGCACGCAGCACACAGCACCCAGCACAUGCAGCACACACGUGACACACUGCACACAUGGAUGAUGCACGGCACACGCAGCACACGCUGUGACACAGCGCAUGGCACACGCAGCACACACGUGACACGCAGCACACAGUGAUGAGGCACGGCACAUGCGGUACACACCGUGACAUGCAGCACACGGCACACACAGCACACGUGACACGCUGCACACACGUGACACGGCGCACGCACUGUGACAUGCAGCACACACAUGACACACAGCACACACGUGACACGCAGCACAUGCUGUGACAUGCAGCACAUGGCACACACGGCACACACAUGACACACCGCACACGUGACACGCUGCGCACGCUGUGACACGCAGCCCUGGCAGCAAUGCGAACAAAUGGGAGGGAAGGGGGGGGGCAGGAAGGAGGG